GAGCUAUAGUGGUUAAAGCAUUAUAGUUUCAUUUUUUGGUACUUAAUAUAAAUAAUAUACUGCAUAAGAAUAGGUAGCCUUCCAAUUGGUAUAGGGGUGCAUAUGUGUGAGUAUGGAACUCCGUAUAUAUGCAUUAAGCAUGUGAUAAAGGAACCAACAUAAACCAAUGGGAAAUGAUUCACUACCCAAUGGAAGCAAAAGACUAAUCAUUUGAUCUCAAAGUUGGUUCCUCCAGAGUUUCUUUCCCUAUAGCUGGUACUUUUUCAGGCACAUAGUUGUAUUCUGUAAAACAAGUGAUUCCAGGUCUCGGGGACUGAAGGAGCUCUGCCCUUUCUUAGACUUUACAUGGAUGAGAAGCCCAGUCAGUGCCUCACAGGCCACUUUUGGUCCACAGAACUGGUGGUGUAGGAUGAACAGAGAAUCAGUUAAGGUGCUUAGUGAGGAUGCUCAUGAGAGCCCCGGAAAGAUGUUGGUAGAUGCAGGCAGCAGGACUGUGGCCAUUGAAGUGAACCACGCUGGUAAGGAGUGUGCAGCAACUCGGCUGCGAUGGGUGCUGCAGAGUGUCAGGCCCAUACCCGGCCUUCUUUGGCAGUGAACACACAAGAGAGACUGGCACGACAAGGGCCUCAGCAGCCUGGAUUCCCUUCUGGAUGCGAGGCUGUCGGAAGGAGGGCCCUCCAGCAAGCCUUGAAUGCUAAGGCACGUGGGCUCCUGAU
rnacentral:ncRNA from 1 species